GAUGAACGCUGGCGGCGUGCCUAAUACAUGCAAGUCGAGCGAACGGACGAGAAGCUUGCUUCUCUGAUGUUAGCGGCGGACGGGUGAGUAACACGUGGAUAACCUACCUAUAAGACUGGGAUAACUUCGGGAAACCGUAGCUAAUACCGGAUAAUAUUUUGAACCGCAUGGUUCAAAAGUGAAAGACGGUCUUGCUGUCACUUAUAGAUGGAUCCGCGCUGCAUUAGCUAGUUGGUAAGGUAACGGCUUACCAAGGCAACGAUGCAUAGCCGACCUGAGAGGGGGAUCGGCACACCGGAAACGAGAAACGGUCCCAACUCCUCAGGGGAGGAGCCGUAGGGAAACUUCCGCAAAGGGCGAAAGCCUGGAGGGGCAACGCCGGGGGAGGGAUGAAGGGCUUCCGAUCGUAAAACCCUUUUAUUAGGGAAAAAAAUAUGGGUAAGUAACCGUGCACAUUUUGACGGUACCUAAUCAAAAAGCCACCGCUAAACACGUG
rnacentral:rRNA from 1 species